rnacentral:tRNA from 1 species
GUCGUUAUUUUUUUGGANAGUGGUUAAGGCGAAAGAUUAGAAAUCUUUUGGGCUUUGCCCGCGCAGGUUCGAGUCCUGCAGUUGUCG